rnacentral:rRNA from 1 species
UACAGAGGAUGCAAGCGUUAUCCGGAAUGAUUGGGCGUAAAGCGUCUGUAGGUGGCUUUUUAAGUCCGCCGUCAAAUCCCAGGGCUCAACUCUGGACAGGCGGUGGAAACUACCAAGCUGGAGUACGGUAGGGGCAGAGGGAAUUUCCGGUGGAGCGGUGAAAUGCGCAGAUAUCGGGAGGAACACCAAUUGCGAAGGCAGCUCGCUGGGACGUCACUGACGCUGAGACGCGAAAGCGUGGGGAGCAAACAGG